rnacentral:misc_RNA from 1 species
GAUGGUUGUGGUUGACAGGCUCCGUGCUCGUGCAUCGAACUGUUGACGCUCCAUCCACUUCAAUCUUCCCCCAAGUGAAGCUCUUUCCUUGUGGGUACGUGUGGUAUCCUGUGUUGCUUACCAAUGAAAUGGAAAUUGACCGUUUUGUUUUGCGGAUCCGCCUUGUGCCCUCUGGGGUGUUGGGUGGACUUGCAGCGAGCAUUGUGUUCCCAACAUGCCAAGUGCAUUUGUGUUUGGUUGUUGUGGACCAUGGUGUCUUUGCUUGUUCUCUCGGAUGCGGAAAGCUAAGUGUGGGCGUGAGGUCUCGGCCUUUAAUUGCCCAAGCACUGUCCUUUGUCUUGAAUGACUGCUGCGCUUGUCUUGAUCUUUCCGACCAAGGCCUCGUAAUGGGGCUUACUGGACGAGGGAGGAUCAUGCGAGUGUUGGCAUCAAAGAGGAAAGC